rnacentral:lncRNA from 1 species
ACACAGUACCGAGUCAAACAACUGCCAGUCUUCGACAAUAGCCAGAUGUCUAUGUAGUAUGUAAUCUUUACACAGUACCGAGUCAAACAACUCCCAGUCUUCGACAAUAGCCAGAUGUCUAUGUAGUAUGUAAUCUUUACACAGUACCGAGUCAAACAACUGCCAGUCUUCGACAAUAGCCAGAUGUCUAUGUAGUAUGUAAUCUUUACACAGUACCGAGUCAAACAACUGCCAGUCUUCGACAAUAGCC